GCAACUGGCAAAGGGAGAAUGUGUUACUACGUUACCCCAAGAAAGGAACAAAAUUGCACUAAAACACAACACAAAGAAAGCAAAUUUUAAUCAGUUGAACCAAAAGAUAAUCGAUGAAAGACUAAACAAAGUUUAAACGGUAAGCACAAAAAAAACCACCUGGGAUGCAAUGCCGGAAGAGAGAAAAAGAAGAGGAGGAAGACGAUAAAGAUAUCAGAAACAAUAAUGCAAUGCCGUAAGAGAGAAACAAGAGAAAAAGGAAAAGAGAGGAAGACGAUAUCAGAAACUGAAUGCCGUGAAGAGUCUGCGGUUUAUUUAAAAUGAAAUGGAGCGUCGAUUGCUUACGAAACCGACGUCUAUAGUCACCUAGACGUCAGUUCUCUAACUAAUUCGAUGACCAAGUUAACAUUUAAACUGACUUUUUGAAUGCCCAUUAGACGUCGGUUUAAGGG
rnacentral:lncRNA from 1 species